rnacentral:rRNA from 1 species
GAUGAACGCUGGCGGCGUGCCUAAUACAUGCCAGUCGAGCGAACGGACGAGAAGCUUGCUUCUCUGAUGUUAGCGGCGGACGGGUGAGUAACACGUGGAUAACCUACCUAUAAGACUGGGAUAACUUCGGGAAACCGGAGCUAAUACCGGAUGAUAUUUUGAACCGCAUGGUUCAAAAGUGAAAGACGGUCUUGCUGUCACUUAUAGAUGGAUCCGCGCUGCAUUAGCUAGUUGGUAAGGUAACGGCUUACCAAGGCAACGAUGCAUAGCCGACCUGAGAGGGUGAUCGGCCACACUGGAACUGAGACACGGUCCAGACUCCUACGGGAGGCAGCAGUAGGGAAUCUUCCGCAAUGGGCGAAAGCCUGACGGAGCAACGCCGCGUGAGUGAUGAAGGUCUUCGGAUCGUAAAACUCUGUUAUUAGGGAAGAACAUAUGUGUAAGUAACUGUGCACAUAUUGACGGUACCUAAUCAGAAAGCCACGGCUAACUACGUG